UACGUAGGGUGCGAGCGUUGUCCGGAAUUAUUGGGCGUAAAGAGCUCGUAGGCGGUGUGUCACGUCGUUCGUGAAAACCUGCAGCUUAACUGUGGGCGUGCGGUCGAUACGGGCAUCACUGGAGUUCGGCAGGGGAGACUGGAAUUCCUGGUGUAGCGGUGAAAUGCGCAGAUAUCAGGAGGAACACCGGUGGCGAAGGCGGAUCUCUGGGCCGAUACUGACGCUGAGGAGCGAAAGCGUGGGGAGCGAACAGG
rnacentral:rRNA from 1 species